GGGCCAUCGCUCAACGGAUAAAAGGUACUCCGGGGAUAACAGGCUGAUACCGCCCAAGAGUUCAUAUCGACGGCGGUGUUUGGCACCUCGAUGUCGGCUCAUCUCAUCCUGGGGCUGAAGCAGGUCCCAAGGGUAUGGCUGUUCGCCAUUUAAAGAGGUACGCGAGCUGGGUUUAGAACGUCGUGAGACAGUUCGGUCCCUAUCUGCCGUGGGCGUUUGAGAAUUGAGGGAAGCUGCUCCUAGUACGAGAGGACCGGAGUGGACGAACCUCUGGUGUUCCGGUUGUCACGCCAGUGGCAUUGCCGGGUAGCUACGUUCGGAAGGGAUAACCGCUGAAAGCAUCUAAGCGGGAAGCCCCUCCCAAGAUUAGUUCUCACUAGACUCUCGAAGUCUCUAAAGGUCCGUCGAAGACUACGACGUUGAUAGGCCAGGUGUGGAAGCACAGUAAUGUGUGUAGCUAACUGGUACUAAUUGACCGUGCGGCUUGACCAU
rnacentral:rRNA from 1 species